rnacentral:lncRNA from 1 species
UGUCUUCGUGAGGAAGAAAUAUUUGCCAUUUGUCUCCGAGACUCUGACUGAAAGUGUCUUCCAAGUUGAUUGGUGUCUAUCUACAUUUUUAGCCAUUAAAUGUAAUUGGUAACCUGGCAUAUAAUUUCUCUUGGCGAAAUGUGAUGACGUGGGUCGAAACUGCUGUCCAUUUUGUCGAAAUGUCGGCCAUUGUUAGCUGUAGGCCAUGCUGUAGGCCUACGUCUCAUCUCGUGCAGAAACACUUCAGAGCUAGUAAAUUGAUUUUCAGGUCGGAGAUGGAGAUCCCUUUGCUCAACUGUUGCAGAAAUUUAGAACACGACAAAGUCUGAGCUUCAUGGCUGUAUAUCAUUAAUGUGGUUUUGUUGCAGCCAGCUGGGGAAAGGUGUGAUCGAGUCAUGGUUGAGUUGCAGCUUCUGCAUGCAGUUUAUCGAGCUGGUGCUAUACCAAGUGUAACUGCUGGAAAACUUCUUGAAUUGCCAGGUGAAGUCUGCGCUUCUUUGUUGCAGUCUAAUGUGUGCAUGGAUUCGUUGCAGUCAUCCAGUGAAAGGUGUGAUUAAAUUGAGCUGUUGCAUGCAGUCUUUGGUGCUGAUGUUGUCCUGGAGUGUGGGAGAGUCCCAUGCUUCAAGUCUUCUGGGAUCAGCUAUAUCUGAGUUGACGCUGGAUCAUGCUGCAUUGUGGUUGCCGAAAUAUUGGACAUCUAGUAGAACUGCAAGAAGACUCCUUGAAAUGGUUUAUGUUUACGUAGCAGUGAUGUUGCUGUCCAAUAUGCAUGUUGUUGCAGCCUAUACUG